rnacentral:rRNA from 1 species
UAAGGAAUAUUGGACAAUGGGCGCAAGCCUGAUCCAGCCAUGCCGCGUGAAGGAUUAAGGUCCUCUGGAUUGUAAACUUCUUUUAUAGGGGACGAAAAAAGGGCAUUCUUGCUCACUUGACGGUACCCUAUGAAUAAGCACCGGCUAACUCCGUGCCAGCAGCCGCGGUAAUACGGAGGGUGCAAGCGUUAUCCGGAUUCACUGGGUUUAAAGGGUGCGUAGGCGGGCAGGUAAGUCAGUGGUGAAAUCCUAGAGCUUAACUCUAGAACUGCCAUUGAUACUAUCUGUCUUGAAUAUUGUGGAGGUAAGCGGAAUAUGUCAUGUAGCGGUGAAAUGCUUAGAUAUGACAUAGAACACCUAUUGCGAAGGCAGCUUACUACGCAUAUAUUGACGCUGAGGCACGAAAGCGUGGGGAUCAAACAGG